GCACAAGCAGUGGAGUAUGUGGUUUAAUUCGAAGCAACGCGAAGAACCUUACCAGGUCUUGACAUCCGAUGCAUAGCGCAGAGAUGCGUGAAGUCCUUCGGGACAUCGAGACAGGUGGUGCAUGGUUGUCGUCAGCUCGUGUCGUGAGAUGUUGGGUUAAGUCCCGCAACGAGCGCAUCCCUUAUGGUCAGUUACUACGCAAGAGGACUCUGGCCAGACUGCCGUUGACAAAACGGAGGAAG
rnacentral:rRNA from 1 species